rnacentral:rRNA from 1 species
GAUGAACGCUGGCGGCGUGCCUAAUACAUGCGAGUCGAGCGAACGGACGAGAAGCUUGCUUCUCUGAUGUUAGCGGCGGACGGGUGAGUAACACGUGGAUAACCUACCUAUAAGACUGGGAUAACUUCGGGAAACCGGAGCUAAUACCGGAUAAUAUUUUGAACCGCAUGGUUCAAAAGUGAAAGACGGUCUUGCUGUCACUUAUAGAUGGAUCCGCGCUGCAUUAGCUAGUUGGUAAGGUAACGGCUUACCAAGGCAACGAUGCAUAGCCGACCUGAGAGGGUGAUCGGCUACACUGGAACUGAGACACGGUCCAGACUCCUACGGGAGGCAGCAGUAGGGAAUCUUCCGCAAUGGGCGAAAGCCUGACGGAGCAACGCCGCGUGAGUGAUGAAGGUCUUCGGAUCGUAAAACUCUGUUAUUAGGGAAGAACAUAUGUGUAAGUAACUGUGCACAUCUUGACGGUACCUAAUCAGAAAGCCACGGCUAACUACGUG